CCCAGUGAUGCGGAAAUUGCCAAACUGCUCCCAUUAUGCACGCUGGCCAGAUCAGACAUCGCGUGCUGCCGCGCCAGGUCACAUGAAGUACAGCGGGAGGGGGCGCGUGGUUUCUUUUCUUCUUCUUCGGCUUCCGACAAAAUAGCAGCAGCAUGUGGGACUCACGCUGUCUCAACUCGGAGUUCGCAGGAAGUGAGCAAAUCCCGGUGCUUGGAGGAGGAGGAGGAGGAGGAGAAGGAGGUCUGGUGCCGUUGAAGCUCAGCACGUGCGAAAGCCGAUCCCUCCGCCGGGCUGCCAGGCACUCGCGGACUUGAAAGGGGGGACCAACAUGUGGAAGCUGUAAGGCACCCAUAGCCAAUGUCAAACUUGCUAGACGGUCAAUUUACAGGCCCUUCCGUGGGGAAAACCCGUUAUUUCAAUUUAAACUUUUUUUCACCUUUCCUACAGGGCCAACAAGUGCUGUCUGGCAGCAAUGUGUAACUUUGCAACAGAUUUGGGUUCCAGAUACGAUAUGUAUAAAAAGCAGCGCAAUAAUAAUUGCAAAAUUUAGCAGUUUUUUUUUUCUCUCACAAUACUGCCAAAGUCUAAUUGCUUGCAGCCCUCUAGCAGCACAGAAAAGAUCAAUGGGCUUCAGAAUGUAAUUUCAGCAUGAAUUUAUUGCACACUUGCGUUAUGUUUUAUAUUAUACUUGUUGUGCGCAAGCCCACUUUGCAAUUUCCUUGCAUAUAAUACAACGGCUGUGAGUUGCUCUGAUAUGUUUGCUGUGGCUCAUUUUCCUCGGGACACAAAAUCAAUGCUAAUUUCCCGUUUCUAAAGCGGACCUCCGUGGCAUUUGCCCGGUAAAUUUGUUGCAGGUAACGCCAUGCAAAUCGCCCACCUUACAUUAAAGUUAAUUAAAGCAUGGGCCGUAAAAUGUUUGAUACGGUGAGUGGGCUACAAUCCUUGCAAAUGGCCUUCAUCUAUAUUAAAUAAAACAUAGAUAGUAGGGGGACAACACACAUUUCAACAUAUUUGUUGAACGACCUCAAUUAGUCGAAUGCACUUAAACAUAUCCAGCCAAUUCUCCUUUUUUCUUAGAAAUAUAUUCAGACAAAAUGCGUUCA